rnacentral:misc_RNA from 1 species
AUAAUAAGUCGUUGCGAGAACGGUUUUCAUUUCCAGAGGUGAAUGUGGUUCCAUAUGGACUGGAUGAUAUCAACGAUGGAAUUCCUCGCCUAUCUAGAACAUUAUCUCAGAAAUCUAGAUCAACCAAGUCCAGACAAGCUGUUGCAAAGGUUUCAGAAAUGAGCUCUCUUAUAGGCAGAGCAGGUACUGUUGGGCUUGGAAAGGCUGUUGAUGUUUUGG